rnacentral:rRNA from 1 species
AGCAUGGGCGAAGCCUGACCCAGCCAUGCCGCGUGCAGGAUGAAGGCCUUCUGGGUUGUAAACUGCUUUUAUCUAGGAAGAAAAAGUCCUUGCGAGGAAAACUGACGGUACUAGAUGAAUAAGCACCGGCUAACUCCGUGCCAGCAGCCGCGGUAAUACGGAGGGUGCAAGCGUUGUCCGGAUUUAUUGGGUUUAAAGGGUGCGUAGGCGGCGUAAUAAGUCCGUGGUGAAAGCCAACAGCUCAACUGUUGAACUGCCAUGGAUACUGUUAGGCUUGAGUACAGACGAGGUAGGCGGAAUGGAUCGUGUAGCGGUGAAAUGCAUAGAUACGAUCCAGAACUCCGAUUGCGAAGGCAGCUUACUAGGCUGUAACUGACGCUGAGGCACGAAAGCGUGGGGAGCGAACAGGAUUAGAUACCCUGGUAGUCCACGCUGUAAACGAUGAUAACUCGAUGUUGGCGAUACACAGUCAGCGUCUUAGCGAAAGCGUUAAGUUAUCCACCUGGGGAGUACGCCCGCAAGGGUGAAACUCAAAUGAAAUUGACGGA